rnacentral:rRNA from 1 species
UACGUAGGGUGCGAGCGUUGUCCGGAAUUAUUGGGCGUAAAGGGCUCGUAGGCGGUUUGUCGCGUCGGGAGUGAAAACACACAGCUUAACUGUGUGCUUGCUUCCGAUACGGGCAGACUAGAGGUAUGCAGGGGAGAACGGAAUUCCUGGUGUAGCGGUGAAAUGCGCAGAUAUCUGGAGGAACACCGGUGGCGAAGGCGGCAUCCUGGACCGAUACUGACGCUGAGGAGCGAAAGCCAGGGGAGCAAACGGG